CCGGGUUCCUCCUCUUCCUCUUCCCUUUUUGAAUGUCUCGUAAUGGGAAGAAUUUGGGGCUGGACCACAGUCAGGACUAGGGAUGUAACGAUUACCGGUAUAACGAUAAACCACGGUCAAACUACAGAUGAAUAAACGGAGUGCGAGUACUGUUUCCUCCACCAGUCACAACAUUGUGUCCUGUGGGUCCAUUCUACAUCACACCAGUAAGAAACACAACGCAGAGAUAAUAGCACCGGUCACACAAGAAGAGACAGAUGGAGAACAGAGGAGUGAACCUGAACCUGCUCAGAACACACACCGUCCAACCCUCUGUCUGUGAUACUGGACACAUUAGAGACACUUUGAAGAACGUCAUGACAUGGAGCACAUCUGAGCUGUCCACAUCCGCCACAAUACACUGUAAAAAAACAUCUGUAAUUUAACAGAAUUUUCACUGUUUAUUUGACAGAUUUUUCCAGUAUGUUUAAGAUACAGGAAAAUAUCAAUGAAAUGAC